rnacentral:rRNA from 1 species
AGCGAACGCUGGCGGCAGGCCUAACACAUGCAAGUCGAACGGAUCCUUCGGGAUCAGUGGCGGACGGGUGAGUAACACGUGGGAACGUGCCCUUUGGUUCGGAACAACUCAGGGAAACUUGAGCUAAUACCGGAUGAGCCCUACGGGGGAAAGAUUUAUCGCCAUUGGAGCGGCCCGCGUCUGAUUAGCUAGUUGGUGAGGUAAAGGCUCACCAAGGCGACGAUCAGUAGCUGGUCUGAGAGGAUGAUCAGCCACACUGGGACUGAGACACGGCCCAGACUCCUACGGGAGGCAGCAGUGGGGAAUCUUGCGCAAUGGGCGAAAGCCUGACGCAGCCAUGCCGCGUGAAUGAUGAAGGUCUUAGGAUUGUAAAAUUCUUUCAGCAGGGACGAUAAUGACGGUACCUGCAGAAGAAGCCCCGGCUAACUUCGUGCCAGCAGCCGCGGU